rnacentral:rRNA from 1 species
UACGUAGGGCGCAAGCGUUGUCCGGAAUUAUUGGGCGUAAAGAGCUCGUAGGCGGCUUGUCACGUCGGGUGUGAAAGCCCGGGGCUUAACCCCGGGUCUGCAUUCGAUACGGGCUAGCUAGAGUGUGGUAGGGGAGAUCGGAAUUCCUGGUGUAGCGGUGAAAUGCGCAGAUAUCAGGAGGAACACCAGUGGCGAAGGCAGGA